rnacentral:rRNA from 1 species
UACGUAGGGUGCAAGCGUUAAUCGGAAUUACUGGGCGUAAAGCGUGCGCAGGCGGUUGUGCAAGUCUGAUGUGAAAUCCCCGGGCUUAACCUGGGAACUGCAUUGGAGACUGCACGGCUAGAGUGCGUCAGAGGGGGGUGGAAUUCCGCGUGUAGCAGUGAAAUGCGUAGAGAUGCGGAGGAACACCGAUGGCGAAGGCAGCCCCCUGGGAUGACGCUGACGCUCAUGCACGAAAGCGUGGGGAGCAAACAGG